CUGCUAGUGCAAGAGGUUCUGAGACCUCAGGGACUGCUUUCAUGUACUGACACCAUUCAGCCUGCUGAAGAAGCUCCACUGGACUCCCCUCGACAAGUCAUUCGCAAGGUAUCAGUGUUUCCCUCCGUUGGAGAAUUCCUAGCUGUCCUGAAGGCCCAAAGCAACAGUGAUGGGCCCACAUCAAUAGACACAGGCAGAUGAGAGGCCAUGAGUGACCAGGAGACCUGGACCUGACUUGGUGCUUGCCAUGACUGCAGAAAGCCGAAUCAUCAGCUGCCCCGGCUUUCUCUUUUCUCCCUAUAGCAUCCUCUGGUGCUUUCUGCCUUGUCAGGAUGGCUCCGGCGUCUUGCCAGAAAGAAAGGUCUCCCUGCCUGCAGGCCGGCAGCACUGUGUUGUGUUUGGAUUUGUUGUGGCUGAAGAGCCUGACCUGGUGUUGAUUUCAAAGAAUAAUUGGGAAAGCCCUGCUGCAGGUACGCUCCAGUGUGCACCUGAAGAAGAGAGCCCUGGCCAGACCCCUCAGCGGGGAAACAAAAACCUCUGCCAGCAAAACACUCUCACAUUUUUGCAAACGCGAAAGUGGUCAGGCGGUUAAUGUUUCAUCGCACAAGGAAGCGGGAGUUGGGACAGCCACGGCAUCAGGGAUGGGACUAACCGGGAAGCACAAUCUGGGGUACUUGAAAGAUGCACAACACUCUGGCAAAGAGCGCUUGCCCCUGAGUAAUUCCAGUGACCGUGUAUAGAAUUAAGCCAUUUUCUUUAAUUAGCAUUCUUUGGUUACUUUUGCCAAAAGAUACAGAAUUUUAGCAUUAAAUAUUUUUACAAUACUGCUACAGUUUGCAAAUGCCAAGUUUAUGUACUCAUAGCAUAACACUGUCCUGUCAGAGCUGAAAGGACUCUUUUCUUUAUUCAUUUUUCCCCCCCUCCUUCCUAUUUUCUUGGAAAGAGAAAACAGCAUUCUCGUCUGCUUUUUUUUUUCCUGAUGCCUGCCACAUCCAACAAAGGUACCUGCAGGUUUCACAGGCUCAAGGCACAUUCACCAAAGAUCACGUGGGAGCUCUCGACAGCGUUGGGGACGCUUCCUCCUGGGCCGCGGUGAAACAGUCGCCUUAAAUGUCAGGGUCAACACACCCAAAUUCCUGGUGCGCUUUCAAUUAGCCACGCUUCCCUUCUCCCAUCCUGCAGCGUUGUUUUAUGCUAUCAAAACGCUACUCGAACCUCCGGCUCGGGGACUGCUGGACCUUGGGCUGUGAGGAUAUCGAGCAGAACCGGUCUUGAAGCGCGUCAAUGCAUCUCCCUCCUCAGCGCCAUGUCCUGGGUCCCGGGCAGCGGGCACUACCGAGGGGGCAACGCCGCAGCCCUGUGGGGAGCAGCGAUGCCGUGGGUCCUCUUCCUCCAGGCUGGGACCUGCCCUUCGGCCUCGGUUUUCACCUCUCGCAGCCCCAGGAGAUGUUCCUUCGUGGCGGCUGUGGAGAGGCCGGGGGAAGACACGACUCUGUCGUGGGGGGGGCAGAGACCUCUGAGGGAGGAGGCCGCGUCUCCUCCGUGAGGGAGCUGGACAGGCCGCGGGACUCCGGCCAUCGAGGGGGAGGAACGCGAUGGCGGCGGGGCUCGGGGCUGCAUUGCCAGCACCGUCUGCGGGGCUCCCUGCGGACAGAGCAGUAUAGUCCCCACGCUGCAUUUCCCAAGGGAGUCGUGCCAGAGCUCACAGGGAUGGCCAGAACAGCCAGGCUGUCCCUUCACACCAUCUUAAGGUGGAAAGUGAGGGCAGGUUCCCAAUGUGUGUCAUUAACUUGGAAGCUCUGUGUAGAAGAGGGAAUCGUAUGCCUUCCUGCACAGCGACCUGCAGGUAACUACUUGACGCCAACCUGAUUCUAGUCCAGC